rnacentral:rRNA from 1 species
UACGUAGGUGGCAAGCGUUGUCCGGAAUUAUUGGGCGUAAAGCGCGCGCAGGCGGUCCUUUAAGUCUGAUGUGAAAGCCCACGGCUCAACCGUGGAGGGUCAUUGGAAACUGGGGGACUUGAGUGCAGAAGAGGAGAGUGGAAUUCCACGUGUAGCGGUGAAAUGCGUAGAGAUAUGGAGGAACACCAGUGGCGAAGGCGACUUUCUGGUCUGUAACUGACACUGAGGCGCGAAAGCGUGGGGAGCAAACAGG